UUGUCGAUCCUUCAUUGCUCUAUGUAAACAUAUGUUAUGCCUCAAAGAGUGACAAUACGUAUGAAAUUGAUACUUUAACUUUGAGCACCAAUAACUCCUUCAUAAAAAUUCCAAAUCAUACAAAAUUUGUACCAAAUUUAUACCCAAAAAACCUAAACUUAAUAAUCCUAGCAUCCAAAGCUCGAAUGCCCUCGAAAGAAAAAUCCUAAUCCCUAAUAAGGCCUUGGGCAGCCUC
rnacentral:lncRNA from 1 species